GAUCUUAUUUAUUUCAGCCCUCUUAAGCUGAGAACGUUAUAGAAACUCUGCCUAAGGCCACAUGUGUAGUGUGUGUAUGUCUGUGAACUUUCCCACACGUGUAAAGCCACCAUUAGAUAUCACUCAUAUCGAAGCUCACGUCUGCCUGCGUGUUUUUCCUCGUCACUCAAUUUGUCUCCGAGCCCGUCUUAUUGCUGCUCUGCUCACUGUCAUCGAGUUCGCCCAGUCUCCCCGUCUGUCUCUGCAAGGCCUCUUGGGUCAGAGGGAGGUUGAUCUCUUUGCGUGCUGGCUGUGGGAACCGCGACACGCAUGCAACACACGCACACGCAGCUGAGACCCGCAGUUGAAUGUCUUGGACCCCCCCUGUGUCCAUAAAAGGUCAUGUGGAAACAUGUGAGCGAAAGAAAAUGGAGGAAGAACGUUUUUCUUUCUCGAGUUUGGAAUGUAUGACAUGUCCAUUGAGAGUUUGCUUGCCGCCCCCCCCCCUAACUGCCUGUCCCUCAAAGCUCUGGUUCUCACUCUUUCCUCGCCCCUUUCUAUGCAGACUCCCAGGGUGAAGACUAGUGAAGGCACCCCAAGGGCUGACCAGCCUGAGCACAGCAGACAGGACCAGUGUACUCCCCCAUGACAGAUGGGGUUCUAGGAGCUAAGGGUGGAGUUGGCAGAGACCCAGAGUGUGGAUACUUGGGAUAAUUUCAUCCCCCAAGGGAGACAUUCCCUGUUUGCUUGCCCCUUUCCACAGGGAGAAAAGACUGCAGAGCUGAGAACUUCAGUGUUUUGCUCAAAGGAGGGACUUUGGCUUGAAACCAGGACGAGGACAGACUUGUACGCCUACCUGCA